CAGUUCAAUACUAUGCUUUGUCAGGUAAUGGAAGCUGUGUGUGUAAUGCUGGACCUCAAGCCAGAGAGGAAGCCAGACCCUAAUGGCUCAGGAAAAAUGAUUGAGGACUAUUGGGCACCAUCUCAGAAGCUGUUGGGGGAUAUGAAGUUCCUCCAGAACCUGCUGCACUAUGACAAAGAAAACAUUCCCACAAAGAUUAUCACUCACGUCCGCAACGAGUUCUACUCUCACCCGGAUUUUGACCCAAAGAAGAUACGUAUGGUAUCAAUGGCUUGUGAGGGCCUCUGCCGAUGGGUGAGGGCCAUGGUUGUCUAUGAUCAAGUCAUAAAGAUUGUCGCCCCCAAGAAACAUGCUUUGGAGGCUGCCAACCAUGAACUGGCCCCCCAGAAUGAAAGGCUAGAGGAAAAGAGGAAGGAACUCAGAGAGCGGUGGGCGGACGAGAAAAUCCCCGACGUAUUCUGGUUUUCUGGGCUGUUCUUCCCCUACUCCUUCCUCACGGGCAUACGUCAGAACUAUGCCAGGAAACAUGCCAUACCCAUCGACAGGAUUGACUUCCUGUUUAAGGUAAUGGAAAAGGAGGUGGAAGAUAUCAUCCAGGAAUGUAUCAGACCCAACUUCGUGGAGUUGCCAGUGGUGAUCGAGCGGCUGCCCACGCCAAAUGUGCAGGGGCAGUACUACCCCCUCGACACUGACCUCGAAGACAACGAAUCGCUUCCUUACGAUAACGACUCCCCCCAGCUCAAGAAGGAGGGUGACCAGACGGUGAAAGUCCCAACUGAACAGCAGGAAAAGGAAGACAACGAGAAUGACUCACAGAGCCAAAGUCAUGAAUCUGAUGACGUCAUCUACCAGGUCAUCCCUCGCCAAGCACAGGGAGGCACCUACACAUGGGGCUUCUUCCUGGAAGGUGCACGCUGGGAUCGUGAACAACAUUGCUUGGCGGAGAUGUCAGCCAAGCAGCUACAUGACCAGUUACCUAUCAUCCUUUUCCAACCUGCUGCCCUCCCAGACAUGUCACACCAUGAGGUGAUGGUCUAUGAUGGGUCGAGGGAGGCGUCUGGCCCUUGGCAUCUUUGUCCUGCUGGUGGUCGACGUCAUUUGGGUGGCUUCAUCAGAAUUGUCGGAGUAUAUCUUCAAUGAUACCGGCUUCAAUAAACCUUUUUUCAGUACAUACUUAAAGACCAGUAUGUUUUCACUAUAUUUGCUGGGAUUUAUAUUUUGGAGCCCCUGGAGACACCAAUGUGCCCAAAGAAACCACAAUGAGAGUAUUUACCAGGAAGUGGAUUCAAUGGAGGAUGAAGAUUUACCGCUGUCAGACGUUUGGUAUGUUGAAUUGUACUUGCCAUUUGUAGUUGUGAUGUAAUACAGUAUUAUGUUGAUGUAAUUGUGAAUGGGUGCUUGUAGUACUUAAUUGUAUUAUUAACUCCUUCACUUCAGUGUUCAAAUUAUGCAAAGUUUAAAUAGAUUUUGCGCCUUAAUCCUUACAAUAAUUUUGUGUCAUUUAUAUUAAGGUGAUACAGCAAUUAUUAAAGCAUAAUAUUUCAUAGCUAAAUAGAGUAAUUUCUUAUUGCUGGCUUUGUUCCAACAAUUUCAGAAAGAGACUCAAUUAUAGCCUCAAAUCUGGUGUAAAAGCAUGUUGUUGAUAAGCCUCCAAACUCCUCAUUGCUCAUGUCCCUCAUUGUUAUCUCUACCAUUAGCAUUGGGGAGUUCUGAUGGUCAGUCGUCAUUGUUAUUGUCACUGCUGUCGAUACCUUUCUUUUCUAUAUCUCUAAAUUAGGUGUAAAUUAAUGUAAAAAUAACAGUAAAUUUAUUGUGUGGCAGUUGUGGUAAGACUGGUGGAGGAGUGUGGUGUUUUUUUUAUGAGGGAAAGACAAUUGUUUGAAGACCGGGUUGGGCAAAGUGUUUUAUAACCAUUUUCCACGCUUGUGUGGAUUAGCCGUGAUUAUCUGAUGGCAACUUUCCAUUCUACAGUCUUUUGCAUUCCCUCUUGUCAGGUUCUUAACUCUUAAUGUCAUUUCUUACAACCUCUCCCCAUGUCAUUCUUGGCUCUUCUCCCCCCACAUUUAGACUCAUACACCUCUUGACCUAAUUAGUGUGAUUCAUUCUCCAAAAUUCCAAACCAUCUCAGCAUACUGCUACACAGAAUUUUGCCAAUAGAACUCAAUACCAGCCACCCUCUUACCUCUGAAAAGGAUUUUUUGUCUUUCAGUGCCACAUUGCAUAUCCACCUCACUAGUCUCAUUUAACUUGAUGGAUAAAUGUAUUGCAACUGCAUAGGUUGUAGUAGAGUGGUGUGGUCCAAAAUUGUUUGGGUACACCUGUUUAAAAUUUGCAUGACAGGAGAAAUUAUGUAUUAAUGAAUAUAUGUAGCACAUAGUGAAAAGUGUUCACUUACUUAAAAAUUUCUUCUAUACAAAAGUCUAUUCAGUAUACAGACUGCAUAUAGUGAGGAAUAUCUAUACUUAAACACUUGUCAAAAGGUUACUUUUAACAAGUUUUAUGAACAAUCUGUAACCCAGAGAAUACAUUAAUUCUUUAGAAGUUGCUAUUUUGCAUGACCUGGCAU